ensembl:lncRNA
UAAUACGAAAUAUGAUUGUUCACAUUAAAAUGUAAAACUUGAUGAUAAAGUAUGAUAAGGUGAAAAAACGUGACAUUUGACGUGUAGAAAGUCACUUUUCAUCAAAAGUACCAUAACAAAACUUGUUCCCAUUUAUCCUGUGUGUCCAUACACACUGGUGCUCUUUAUCCGCUAAAACGCUACACAGCGCUUCAGAAGGCUCUAGGAGCAAAGGAAAGUGGUUUUUCUAACAAACUCAUAUUUUCAAUUGCCUGACCAACUCCAAUAUGAUGUUUAUCACAUAUUUAGACAUAAUAUAGUACUAUGAAAUGUUUCUGACCCAAAAUAUUACGAAAUAUGAUCGUUUACAUUAAAAUGUAAAACUUGAUGAAAAAGUGUGAUACGGUGAAAAAAGUGACAUUUUAUGUCUAGAAAGUCAGUUUUCAUCAAAAGUACCAUAACAAAACUAGUUCGCAUUCAUCCUGUGUCUCUUACACACUUGUGCUCUUUAUCCGCUCAAAACGCUAUAGAGCGAACGAGAAGGCGCUAGGAGCAAAGGAAAGUGGUUUUUCUAACAAACUCAUAUAAUCAGUUGCCCGACCUACUCCAAUUUGAUUUUUU